rnacentral:lncRNA from 1 species
AUUGGCUAGGGGUAAUGCUAGAGAGGCCAUUCUGGUGUCUUUUCCGCCUUGCUUGGUCUGAAACAUACGCGUAGGACCUACGGCCUCCAUCUUGGAUCAUCCGGGUUACUUUCGGUUUCAGUUAUGGCUCAGGUGGAAAAGAAGGUUUUUCGCUCAGGAGUUGGAGCAGAACACUGCAGUUUUUGAACCAUUGUGGAUAUACUGUUUUGGACCGAAACGCUUCAUUGGAUUAUGUUUUCUGGAUCCUAACGAACAGAAUGACACCACACUCGACGUGAAUGAACGAUGUCUGGGGCUCAGAAGUCGUCAAAAUGACAGAAUAAUCUGGUUACACUGCUGUGAUGCACCUUUCAUCAAGUUUGACACAGUUUCCCUUCCCUGUAUUACAGGACAGGUACGACGGUUGCCUCAGGGAAGAGUUCAUCCCUGGGUCGUGAGGGUCUGCAGCUAUUCCAGCAUUCAGUGUGAGGAAGCCCCACUGGGCAGCAAGACGGACCCUAACCCUAACCUAUUCAUCCAGUCGCUGCACACAAUCAAUUUCAAUGGAGUCUCUUCUCAUUUGAAAACCAACUCCAACAACACGUGCCACCAGAGGGCUCGAAGGGUUCAGCUGAAGUAGGCUUGAACGCCUCCUUGCCAGGACCUGACUUAGCAGUGACAGAGUAAUGGAGUCUGCAACGAAAACCCAUCCGUCCAUUAUCAUAGUAAGGGUCACCUAGAGCUAGGGCAGCUGUCGUACACGCUGGACAGCCUGCCGGUCCAUCACUGGGACAACACGGACAGACGGACAACCCUGGACAAUAAACUCUUCCAUUUGAACCUGGCUGUUUCUUGC